rnacentral:rRNA from 1 species
GAUGAACGCUCGCGGGAGGCCUAACACAUGCAAGCCGAGCGGUAUUGUUUCUUCGGAAAUGAGAGAGCGGCGUACGGGUGCGUAACACGUGUGCAACCUGCCUUUAUCUGGGGGAUAGCCUUUCGAAAGGAAGAUUAAUACUCCAUAAUAUAUUGAACGGCAUCGUUUAAUAUUGAAAGCUCCGGCGGAUAGAGAUGGGCACGCGCAAGAUUAGCUAGUUGGUGAGGUAACGGCUCACCAAGGCGAUGAUCUUUAGGGGGCCUGAGAGGGUGAUCCCCCACACUGGUACUGAGACACGGACCAGACUCCUACGGGAGGCAGCAGUGAGGAAUAUUGGUCAAUGGGUGCAAGCCUGAACCAGCCAUCCCGCGUGAAGGACGACUGCCCUAUGGGUUGUAAACUUCUUUUGUAUAGGGAUAAACCUACCCUCGAGAGGGUAGCUGAAGGUACUAUACGAAUAAGCACCGGCUAACUCCGUG